UGGCGGACGGGUGAGUAACGCGUGGAUAACCUGCCGUAUACGAGGGGAUAACACUUAGAAAUAGGUGCUAAUACCGCAUAAGCGCACGGUUCCGCAUGGAACAGUGUGAAAAACUCCGGUGGUAUACGAUGGAUCCGCGUCUGAUUAGCCAGUUGGCGGGGUAACGGCCCACCAAAGCGACGAUCAGUAGCCGGCCUGAGAGGGUGAACGGCCACAUUGGGACUGAGACACGGCCCAAACUCCUACGGAAGGCAGCAG
rnacentral:rRNA from 1 species